UACGUAGGUGGCAAGCGUUGUCCGGAAUUAUUGGGCGUAAAGCGCGCGCAGGUGGUUUCUUAAGUCUAAUGUGAAAGCCCACGGCUCAACCGUGGAGGGUCAUUGGAAACUGGGGAACUUGAGUGCAGAAGAGGAAAGUGGAAUUCCAAGUGUAGCGGUGAAAUGCGUAGAGAUUUGGAGGAACACCAGUGGCGAAGGCGACUUCUGGUCUGUAACUGACACUGAGGCGCGAAAGCGUGGGGAGCGAACAGG
rnacentral:rRNA from 1 species